rnacentral:tRNA from 1 species
GUCCCCGUAGCUCAACGGAUAGAGCGUUAGCCUCCGGAGCUAAAAGUGCUGGUUCGAUUCCAGCCGGGGACG